GCCCAUGUGAUGCAACAGGCAGACAUAUCGGUCUUAAAAACCGUCAGCUGCGGGUUCGAAUCCCGUCAUGGGCA
rnacentral:tRNA from 1 species